rnacentral:ncRNA from 1 species
UCCGGGGAUAGCCUGGCCAGGCGACAAGCGGGGAUCCUGCCCCCGCUUCCCCGGAUUACUCGCAGG